ACAGCCCAUUCGUCUUAUGAAACGUGGCUAAUAGCCGGUAAAGUACGGGUACAAAACGUCGGCUGGUAGUCGUGGAAGAUACAUACGUUGUACUUUGGUCGUUUAACUUAUGUUAUUGUGUCAUUGGUAAUAUCGAUAAUAUUUUCUGAUUUGUGAUUUUCUUACUGGUAAUUUUAAAAGAUGCCAAGGACAAAUAAAAGGUUUAAAGCAACUGUAGCUGUCACAUAUCAUGAUGAGGAUGGCCAUGUUGAGAGAGAGGAGGUGGAUUUGUCAGAAUUGGUUACUGAGGAUCAUAGAGGAAGCUGUUCUAUUAACAGUCCUGAUAAUUGUGGUGCAUUGGAAGGCCAUGAACUGGGAAUGGAACAAGAUAACAGUGAUCUUGAAAGUGAUGUUCGCCAUGAUUGUGAAGAAUCAUAUUACCAGAAAGUUGAAAGAAAACAAAAAGCAUGGGAAAAUUUGCGACAUUCAGUUAUAAAGAAUACAUUUCAGUUUGCUGGCAAAAAUUGGAGCAAUCGGAAGUGUAUUCAUUGUGAUAAUGAAGCAAAGUUUAGGUGCAGCGAUUGUGGUCCAAUGGCAAAGUAUUGUGAGAACUGUAUGUUAAAGAUGCACACAACCGUAAAUAUUUGUCAUCAUGUUGAAAUAUUUAAGGAUGGCAUGUUUUGGCCAUAUAAACUCAUGAACAUGCUGGUGUAUGAUUGUUCAUGCCAAACAGCUCGUCACAAAAGAAGUGUUUCUGUUGUUGAUGUUAAAGGCACCUUUUGUACUGUUGAGGUACAGUUUUGCUCAUGCUCUUCCGAGUUUGUUCAACUUCUGCAAUUUGGCCUUUGGGGUGGAACACCUACAAAACCAAGAAUUGCAUUUGCAAUUGAGUUUUUUGAAUUGGUUCAUUCUAUGCAGAUGGAAUGCCAGGCAUCAAUAAAAAGCAUUUGUCAGUCAUUUGAAGAGUUUAAUCAUAACCACAUAUUUUCUUCUUAUGCAACACCAAAAAUGUAUCCUGUCAUUAUAGAUGCUUUUGAAGAAUACAGAAUUUACAGACAUAAACUAAACAUGUUGAGCUGUGUUAUUCCUGAGCUUGAUGAAGGAAAUAUCUGUCCUGCUUGUCCCAAAACUGAUGGUGUGAUCUUUGAGUCUCUUGAUGCUCUUUUAUUGGACGAAGGAAAAAGCUGGGCAGAGUAUUGGAAAACCUCUAUUUGAACAGCUGAUGUUCUAUGAUCAGACACAUGUUGAUCAAUUUGUUGCCAAUUAUACCACACCUACAUCAAACAAGGAGUGUCAUGGUUUUCUUGCUGGGAAUGCUGUUCGAUCAAUGAAUCGCUACAGAGCUCUUGAUGAAACAGCAAUCUUUGGGCGAGGCUGUCGACAUGAGUUUCCUAAAAAAUUCUUAAAUUUGAAACAUGGAGAGAG